rnacentral:tRNA from 1 species
GGUAAUUUAGUUUAUAAAAAACAAAUGUUUUGAAAGCAUUAAUUAGAUCUAAGAUCUAAUUACCU